GACGAACGCUGGCGGCGUGCUUAACACAUGCAAGUCGAACGAUGAACCACUUCGGUGGGGAUUAGUGGCGAACGGGUGAGUAACACGUGGGCAAUCUGCCCUUCACUCUGGGACAAGCCCUGGAAACGGGGUCUAAUACCGGAUACAACACUCUCGGGCAUCCGAUGAGUGUGGGAAGCUCCGGCGGUGAAGGAUGAGCC
rnacentral:rRNA from 1 species